GGAGGGUGCAAGCGUUAUCCGGAUUCACUGGGUUUAAAGGGUGCGUAGGUGGGCAGGUAAGUCAGUGGUGAAAUCUCCGGGCUUAACCCGGAAACUGCCAUUGAUACUAUCUGUCUUGAAUACCCUGGAGGUGAGCGGAAUAUGUCAUGUAGCGGUGAAAUGCUUAGAUAUGACAUAGAACACCCAUUGCGAAGGCAGCUCACUACGGGACUAUUGACACUGAGGCACGAAAGCGUGGGGAUCAAACAGGAUUAGAUACCCUGGUAGUCCACGCCCUAAACGAUGGAUACUCGACAUCAGCGAUAAACUGUUGGUGUCUGAGCAAAAGCAUUAAGUAUCCCACCUGGGAAGUACGACCGCAAGGUUGAA
rnacentral:rRNA from 1 species